rnacentral:tRNA from 1 species
GGGCCCUUAGCUCAGUCGGUUAGAGCAGCGGACUCAUAAUCCGUUGGUCGAUGGUUCGAGUCCAUCAGGGCCCACCA